rnacentral:rRNA from 1 species
AAUCAUGGCUCGAGAUUGAACGCUGGCGGCAGGCCUAACACAUGCAAGUCGAACGGUAACAGGAAGCAGCUUGCUGCUUUGCUGACGAGUGGCGGACGGGUGAGUAAUGUCUGGGAAACUGCCUGAUGGAGGGGGAUAACUACUGGAAACGGUAGCUAAUACCGCAUAACGUCGCAAGACCAAAGAGGGGGACCUUAGGGCCUCUUGCCAUCGGAUGUGCCCAGAUGGGAUUAGCUAGUAGGG